rnacentral:lncRNA from 1 species
GGGACUGCCUCAACACGUCCUUCGUGUAGGGGAUAGGCCCUGGGCAUGCCCAGAGUGUGCGAAAAAACAAGCGCUCCACUAAGCGCCCAACAUGCGGGCGAGAACACACAAAUACAUUGUACCGCAUGAGGAAAAUGGUCCAGACACACAUCGUGUAUUGAAUGCACGUGCGAACAUGCCACGCUGCACAAGUGCACACACACUGCAUUGUGCGAGUGAUGUGGACACGUCGCGCUGCGCAAGCGCACUUGGGCAUGCUGUGUUGUGGAAACACACGUGCAGGCAUCUAUGACUUAUGAGCAUGAGGGCAUGAUGCCCCAUGCGAAGAGAAGUGCACUCCUGCAUGCAAGGGCUAGUCUUCGACAUGCCCACUAUGUAUGGCCUGUCUGGCCUUGCGCGGUCCAUUGGGUUGCGUGACCUUACUAUGCACGCUCGCACACCUAGAGGGCCUCGCGACUACCCUUGCCUCCUUUGUUGAAUGAGUGUAGCAAGGAACUUCCUUAAUGGGCUUUUGGACGAAGAAUGUGCCCCCAUUGGGUUGGGAUGACUUAGCCUUAAUGGGCUUGUAAUUUGGUUGAUAAGCCUUUGCUAAGCCCAAGUCCAUUAUUAGGCCUAGCUAGGCUUAGAGUUGUAAAAUGGACCUCCAUAG